rnacentral:rRNA from 1 species
UACAGAGGGUGCGAGCGUUGUCCGGAAUCACUGGGCGUAAAGGGCGCGUAGGUGGCGCUGCAAGUCGGUGGUGAAAGCUCGAUGCUUAACAUCGAGUCGGCCAUCGAAACUGCAGGGCUCGAGCACUGUAGGGGCAGAUGGAAUUCCUGGUGUAGCGGUGAAAUGCGCAGAUAUCAGGAGGAACACCGAUGGCGAAGGCAGGUCUCUGGGCCACUACUGACGCUGAGAAGCGAAAGCAUGGGGAGCGAACAGG